GUUGAGGAGGUGAUGAUCUACAAUUGCAUAGUUCAACUGAACUGCCGUCCAAGGCACUGUUGAGAACAUUCCAUCAAAGUCUUUCGCUCCUAUCUGAUUCUCAGC
rfam:Phytophthora ramorum strain Pr102 Scaffold48 genomic scaffold, whole genome shotgun sequence.